GUCUGUAACUGACGCUGAGGUUCGAAAGCGUGGGUAGCAAACAGGAUUAGAUACCCUGGUAGUCCACGCCGUAAACGAUGAGUGCUAAGUGUUGGAGGGUUUCCGCCCUUCAGUGCUGCAGCUAACGCAUUAAGCACUCCGCCUGGGGAGUACGACCGCAAGGUUGAAACUCAAAGGAAUUGACGGGGGCCCGCACAAGCGGUGGAGCAUGUGGUUUAAUUCGAAGCAACGCGAAGAACCUUACCAGGUCUUGACAUCCUUUGACCACUCUAGAGAUAGAGCUUCCCCUUCGGGGGCAAAGUGACAGGUGGUGCAUGGUUGUCGUCAGCUCGUGUCGUGAGAUGUUGGGUUAAGUCCCGCAACGAGCGCAACCCUUAUUGUUAGUUGCCAUCAUUCAGUUGGGCACUCUAGCAAGACUGCCGGUGACAAACCGGAGGAAGGUGGGGAUGACGUCAAAUCAUCAUGCCCCUUAUGACCUGGGCUACACACGUGCUACAAUGGGAAGUACAACGAGUUGCGAAGUCGCGAGGCUAAGCUAAUCUCUUAAAGCUUCUCUCAGUUCGGAUUGCAGGCUGCAACUCGCCUGCAUGAAGCCGGAAUCGCUAGUAAUCGCGGAUCAGCACGCCGCGGUGAAUACGUUCCCGGGCCUUGUACACACCGCCCGUCACACCACGAGAGUUUGUAACACCCGAAGUCGGUGAGGUAACCUUUUGGAGCCAGCCGCCUAAGGUGGGACAGAUGAUUGGGGUGAAGUCGUAACAAGGUAGCCGUAU
rnacentral:rRNA from 1 species